rnacentral:lncRNA from 1 species
GUCAGAUCCUCCUGCCGGUUUUCCUCUCCCUAGCUCUCAUCCAGCUGAUCAUCAGCUUCUCUGACCAGAAGACUAAAUCCCACCAGCACUGGAAGCGGAAAAUCGAAGCAAAACACGCAGGACAUGAAUGUGCGCAAAAGCAGACGUGUCCACUGUGUACUCAAGAUAAGAGAGUAAGUUAAUUUUCUUAUGAAGAAAACUCUGGGAAUAUUAUAAACUCUCCCAUUUACAGCUGUCAUCUCAAAGAUAUGCUACGUUUUGUUUUCCACACUUUUAAUAGGAAGAAUGGAAUAAUUCAGUACAAACAUGUACUCCCAUCUGGGAAAUUACACAUCAAAAA